UACGUAGGGUGAGCGUUAAUCGGAAUUACUGGGCGUAAAGCGUGCGCAGGCGGUUAUGUAAGACAGGUGUGAAAUCCCCGGGCUUAACCUGGGAACUGCAUUUGUGACUGCAUAGCUAGAGUACGGUAGAGGGGGAUGGAAUUCCGCGUGUAGCAGUGAAAUGCGUAGAUAUGCGGAGGAACACCGAUGGCGAAGGCAAUCCCCUGGACCUGUACUGACGCUCAUGCACGAAAGCGUGGGGAGCAAACAGG
rnacentral:rRNA from 1 species